ACUUCAGUUAUUGUUUUAAAUCUUUUUUUUUUUUGACAAUACAAUAUCACAUUUUAUAUGCAGUCUUGAAAAUGGCGUGGGGUAAAUGGUGACCGUUAUUGCGCAUACACUGAUUAAAUCGAUUUUUGAAAUUCGUGUCCACUCUGCAAUCUGUACGUUGACAAUGGAGUCGCGAAUGUUGUUCUUGAGAUGUGCUGUGGUACGUGGUCGAUCGACAUAAACCAGGAAUUUCAAAUAAAUCCAUAAAAUGAAAUCGCACAGACUCAAAUCUGGAGAGAGCGCCGGCCAUUGGAGAUCGCCUCUAAGAGAGAUGAGGCGGUCGGGGAAAUGUUGUCGCAACAAAUUUAUUUAGUCUCUUACUGUGUGUGCUGUGGGACCAUCUUGCCGAAACCACAAGUUUUUAACAUUAAGUUCAUGCAUUCACGGUAAGGGAAGGCACGUUGGUAAGCAACAAGCGAGCAACCGUUAGAAAAGAAGGUCUCGACGGCGAUGGCCCGCUGCUCCCUACACCAAUACAUGAUGGCAAGAGAGAAAAACAAACUUGGGGACUUCCCCCUCCAGAUGCGCACUCUCGACUCGCUCCCAGUUCAACUCACCGGUCGGGAGUUUUUUCAAUUAAAUGACAUAUGCUUGGAUCGUAUAAAUGUAUGUGUGAACCUCUGAGCCGUGGAGACACCACUAAAACAUCUGGAACAUAUCAAAAUAAAAAUAUUAUUUACGAGCAUUCGCUUAAACAAGCCCCCUUCCAAGUGGUUCGUAUUAUAUCACAAAGCAAUCUUGAAAUAUUAAAUCCAAGUGAAGUUAUUUACUUUAACACUUAAAUAUUAAAAUUUUAUCAAAUAUUUGUGUACUUCAGAAUGUUGUCAUUUAGCAUUUACAAUAAACUUAUAACAAUGUUUUGUGAAUCCA